GAAUUCGCCCUUAGAGUUUGAUCCUGGCUCAGGACGAACGCUGGCGGCGCGCCUAACACAUGCAAGUCGAACGAGCGAGAGAGAGCUUGCUUUCUCAAGCGAGUGGCGAACGGGUGAGUAACGCGUGAGGAACCUGCCUCAAAGAGGGGGACAACAGUUGGAAACGACUGCUAAUACCGCAUAAGCCCACAGCUCGGCAUCGAGCAGAGGGAAAAGGAGCAAUCCGCUUUGAGAUGGCCUCGCGUCCGAUUAGCUAGUUGGUGAGGUAAUGGCCCACCAAGGCAACGAUCGGUAGCCGGACUGAGAGGUUGAACGGCCACAUUGGGACUGAGACACGGCCCAGACUCCUACGGGAGGCAGCAGUGGGGAAUAUUGCACAAUGGGGGAAACCCUGAUGCAGCGACGCCGCGUGGAGGAAGAAGGUCUUCGGAUUGUAAACUCCUGUUGUUGAGGAAGAUAAUGACGGUACUCAACAAGGAAGUGACGGCUAACUACGUGCCAGCAGCCGCGGUAAAACGUAGGUCACAAGCGUUGUCCGGAAUUACUGGGUGUAAAGGGAGCGCAGGCGGGAAGACAAGUUGGAAGUGAAAUCUAUGGGCUCAACCCAUAAACUGCUUUCAAAACUGUUUUUCUUGAGUAGUGCAGAGGUAGGCGGAAUUCCCGGUGUAGCGGUGGAAUGCGUAGAUAUCGGGAGGAACACCAGUGGCGAAGGCGGCCUACUGGGCACCAACUGACGCUGAGGCUCGAAAGUGUGGGUAGCAAACAGGAUUAGAUACCCUGGUAGUCCACACCGUAAACGAUGAUUACUAGGUGUUGGAGGAUUGACCCCUUCAGUGCCGCAGUUAACACAAUAAGUAAUCCACCUGGGGAGUACGACCGCAAGGUUGAAACUCAAAGGAAUUGACGGGGGCCCGCACAAGCAGUGGAGUAUGUGGUUUAAUUCGACGCAACGCGAAGAACCUUACCAAGUCUUGACAUCCUGCGACGAUGCUGGAAACAGUAUUUUCCUUCGGGACGCAGAGACAGGUGGUGCAUGGUUGUCGUCAGCUCGUGUCGUGAGAUGUUGGGUUAAGUCCCGCAACGAGCGCAACCCUUACUGUCAGUUACUACGCAAGAGGACUCUGGCAGGACUGCCGUUGACAAAACGGAGGAAGGUGGGGAUGACGUCAAAUCAUCAUGCCCUUUAUGACUUGGGCUACACACGUACUACAAUGGCGUUAAACAAAGAGAAGCAAGACCGCGAGGUGGAGCAAAACUCAGAAACAACGUCCCAGUUCGGACUGCAGGCUGCAACUCGCCUGCACGAAGUCGGAAUUGCUAGUAAUCGUGGAUCAGCAUGCCACGGUGAAUACGAACCCGGGCCUUGCACACACCGCCCGUCA
rnacentral:rRNA from 1 species